rnacentral:rRNA from 1 species
GACGAACGCUGGCGGCAUGCCUAAUACAUGCAAGUCGAACGAUGAUAUCACUGCUUGCAGUGAUUGAUUAGUGGCGAACGGGUGAGUAACACGUGAGGAACUUGCCCAUGAGCGGGGGACAACAUUCGGAAACGGAUGCUAAUACCCCAUAGGUGGAUUGGUCGCAUGACGAAUUCAUUAAAGGUGGCUCUGCUACCACUCAUGGAUAGCCUCGCGGCGUAUUAGCUAGUUGGUAAGGUAAUGGCUUACCAAGGCAGUGAUACGUAGCCGACUUGAGAGGGUGAUCGGCCACACUGGGACUGAGACACGGCCCAGACUCCUACGGGAGGCAGCAGUAGGGAAUCUGCCACAAUGGGUGCAAACCUGAUGGAGCAAUGCCGCGUGAGUGAAGAAGGUCUUCGGAUCGUAAAGCUCUGUUGUUAGAGAAGAACACGUGCUAGGUAACUACUAGCGCCUUGACGGUAUCUAACCAGAAAGUCACGGCUAACUACGUG